rnacentral:rRNA from 1 species
AUUGAACGCUAGCGGGAUGCUUUACACAUGCAAGUCGAACGAGUGGCGGACGGGUGAGUAAUAUAUCGGAACGUGCCCAGUAGCGGGGGAUAACUACUCGAAAGAGUGGCUAAUACCGCAUACUCUUUGGGCGGCCGAUCUCGGAUUAGCUAUUUGGUGGGGUAAAGGAUCACCAAGGCAACGAUCCGUAGAUGGUUUGAGAGUCCGACCAGCCACACGGGGACUGAGACACGGCCCAGACUCCUACGGGAGGCAGCAGUGGGGAAUUUUGGACAAUGGGGGAAACCCUGAUCCAGCAAUCCCGCGUGUAUGAGAAGGCCUUCGGGUUGUAAAGUACUUUUGGCAGAGAAGCGGUAUCUGCAGAAUAAGCACCGGCUAACUACGUGCCAGCAGCCGCGGUAAUUC